GCUUGGAUGGAUUUUACCAAACUGUAGCAUACUCAGUGCUUAGGGCUGCGUUUACUGCUCUGCUCCCAGACCCUGCAAAAUUCUCCAUUAACGUCCUUCCGUUGCAUCCUCUACCCUCCCCAGCCAUCCGACCUUGGGACUAGGGAAACGUGGACUUGGUGGGCUAUUCUGCGCUGAAGAGGCAGCAACGAGGGCUCGGUGGUAUUGGUGUUGGUCCUAGUGGAAUUGUCAAGAGGAUGCUUUUGAAGACCUGAUGCCUGGAGGUACAGCAGCCAUCUUGUGACCAUAAGGAGGAAAUCAACGCAUUAAGAAGGGAAAAGCUAAGAAGAUACAGAGAGCAGGGACCACUGACAACAUGAUCAAGCCACUCUACCAGGCCUUAACUUCCUAUUCCCUGACUUCUUAUUGAAAGAGACAAUAAAACUUCUCAUUUGUUUUAACCCAUAGAAGUAAGGCAUUCUGUUACUUAUGGGUGAACACAAUUCUUAACUGAUGCCAUGGUUUAAUGGGAGUAGGGAUCCUGGUAUGACAGGAAAUUGAGAUAAUCAGUUUAUGGCUAGUGUAGCAGCUCCAAGACACGAUUAAUGUCCCAAGCUCUUUUGCCCUCCUGACUUGCUAGCCUCAGUAUGUGGAUUUUGUUCUCCCAGUCUGAAGGCAUAACUUUUGGGGAAGAGUAAAAGAAGCCCUCUCCAGAGAUCUGCUACAUCUCAUUGGCCAGAACUCUAACAUUUGGCCGCCACUACCUAGUUGCAAGUGAAUCUGAGAAGGUGAGUGUUUUUUCAUUUCAGGCUUUAUGAAAUAGAAAGGCAAAGGAAGGGGGGUUUGAGCAGCCUUUGAACAGCCAGUUCACGUUUUUGCUAUACUGCUCUAGUCAGGUUUUCUAUUACCAGCAGCCUAAUACAAUUUCCAGGUGCCCCAAGUUGUGCUGACAACUUGGUGUAUAAGAGAGACAG
rnacentral:lncRNA from 1 species